ACCAUCUUUAACUUUGCAACUUUCAUAUUAUCCCCUCAAAAUUUUCUAAUAUCGUUAUAAAAGGGUGACCAUUUUGACCGAUUCCCUCACCUGGGUUGUGAACACGCACAAGAGGAGUGCGAAGCAGUGUUUUCACUGCAAAUAACCAAUUUAAAUGUGCACGUGACACUAAUUUUCCCUUAUCAAUUAAUUAUUUUCUUCCUUUUCAUCAUCUUCCCCAAAAACAAAUUUAUUAAAAGAGUUGUUGGUACAAAGUUAUUAAAAGAGUUGUUGGUGCCUCUCUUGAUAGACAAUUUCAUUAUAAACUCCGGUACUCUCUUUUACGAAUUCAUCAUCUUUACCAAGCGCAAUAAGGAAAAUGUAAAAUGCAAUGUUCAAUUGUAGUAGUAAUGAUGAGAAUGAUCGAUGUAGUGAGUGAAAUUCCGACGCAAACAUGGAGACUUACUUUCAAUGCAAAAUUCAUGGUCGGAGCACAAUUCAGAUCGAUGAUUUUGGUCUUGUCCACGUUAUCUUGUAUGGUCUCUAAAUCAUUUCAGGAGAUAUUUUACGUAUAUUUCUAUGUUUUGUUUUUUCUUUAAUAUUUUUAUGACGUAUUUUAGGAGAAUGCAUGCAACUUCUUUAGAUGAAGGGAUCUUGAAGGUGUUGAUAUAUGAUUAAAAUACGUUAUUUAAGAUUGGCGAACAUAAUUAAGGAGUUGGAAGAAGCAUUAGCAUGUUAUGAAUGUCGUGUUGAAAAUAAUGCAUGGAUGAUGCAAGAGAAGAAGAAGAUGAGCUCAUGUUGUAACUUAAAGCUAAUUGUCUUGGUUGUAGUAGUGUUUUUUCCUAAUAUUUAAGUCUAACCAAGAAUGUGAAGGAUGGAGCAUGUAGGUGUGUGCAACCAAAAUCGUCAUAAACAUCUUUACUUACUUUCAAGUUUUGAUUUUUUUUGUCGUCGAAUGCUCAAGUUUUCGUUAUUUUUUAUUGUCGAAAUAAUUAUGAUUGAAGAAUUGUUAAUGUA